rnacentral:rRNA from 1 species
UGGGGAAUAUUGGACAAUGGGCGAAAGCCUGAUCCAGCCAUGCCGCAUGAGUGAAGAAGGCCUUUGGGUUGUAAAGCUCUUUUAGUGAGGAAGAUAAUGACGGUACUCACAGAAGAAGUCCUGGCUAACUCCGUGCCAGCAGCCGCGGUAAUACGGAGAGGGCUAGCGUUAUUCGGAAUUAUUGGGCGUAAAGGGCGCGUAGGCUGGUUAAUAAGUUAAAAGUGAAAUCCCGAGGCUUAACCUUGGAAUUGCUUUUAAAACUAUUAAUCUAGAGAUUGAAAGAGGAUAGAGGAAUUCCUGACGUAGAGGUAAAAUUCGUAAAUAUUAGGAGGAACACCAGUGGCGAAGGCGUCUAUCUGGUUCAAAUCUGACGCUGAAGCGCGAAGGCGUGGGGAGCAAACAGGAUUAGAUACCCUGGUAGUCCACGCUGUAAACGAUGAAUGUUAAAUAUGGGAAGUUUACUUUCUGUAUUACAGCUAACGCGUUAAACAUUCCGCCUGGGGACUACGGUCGCAAGAUUA